CUGGAGUUUACUGGAGCUUACUGCAGCAUGUAGAAACCAAACACGCAGAAGGCUUUGUUAGCGAUUGUGUUCCUGGACACGGGUCUGUACCUGGCUCGUGGCCGGCUCCGGUGGCCAGGGCAGGCAUGGCUCCUGCCGGCUGCUUCCUGGUUACCCUCAGGCUGUGGAAAAUGGCAGCGGGGCGUCAGAGUUGUAAGUUCCUCGGCAGCUCUCCCCAGGGACCAGCUGAAUCUGAGGACAGGCUUUAUGUCAUAGAGCCCUGCAAGAGAACAAGAUUUUAGAGCCUACUUGUCAAAUGGCAGAAUGGCCACAUGCACAUGUGUGUCAGCUACUGCGCUGCGUUUGAGUUCGUGUUAAGGGAUCUUGUAUCUCCCCGUAACCAUGGAUAUGAAUAUCUACAAUACUAGCAAUUAUGCAUAUUUGUGUAAGUGAGCCAACAAUUGACAGUGAAUGACUCACUGAGAGUGUGUGUGUGUUGACAGUACAUUCAUAAUUGACUCUGGGUGUUUACAACCCAACACUUUUUUCCUAAACUGCUGAACAUCCUGCUUUGUACAGGAGCCAACAUCACCUCAUCUGGCGCACACACAAACUACACACUUUAUUCAGCAUCCAGCGGAAACUAGGGGAACUUUAUCCGCCAAGGACACAACAGCUCUUUGUCUCUCUCUGUCCUAUUAACCGGGAGGAGACCACCGUCACUAUCAGUCACCACUCACACAUUCUACUGUCUCCAUGGACUGAGGUUGGUGGCGCAGGGAACAGAGGAGCAAAACACACUUUGCUUAAUCAAGAAAUAUCAUUGAUACAGUGUAUGAGGAGAGUAAGCUUAUGAACAGCAGUCUACUAAGGGAGUGAAGAGAGCAUCACUGACAGGAUGAAUACUCUACAACUUCACUGUGUGGCCUAGGAUCAUUCUCCCCCUGGGAAUCACUCAUCAAGAGUCGGUGAGGCGUGUCCUUGGAUCUGGUUCAUUCGCUCACCUGCUCUUCAUCAAGCAAUCUCUUCAGCCUUCUAAUACUGCCUCCAGCCAUCCAGUUGCCGCCGGAUCGUUGUGUCACUUGUUCAUCUGCACCAGCCAUCGGUUUUGUGAUCCCUGCACCUAACCCUUGCAACUCUGCCUCCCCAUCAGCACCCACCUCUCGGACCUCAGCUCAAGUUCCCCGCCUGCCCGCCACCCUCUCUAACCGUGCUUACCAUCCACCUUUUGUUCCCUGUAAUAAACAU